rnacentral:rRNA from 1 species
CGAACCGUCCGGACGUUAUUCGGAAUCACUGGGCUUAAAGGGUGCGUAGGCGGCGCAGUAAGUGGGGUGUGAAAUCCCUCGGCUUAACCGAGGAACUGCGCCCUAAACUACUGUGCUCGAGGGAGAUAGAGGUGAGCGGAACUUAGGGUGGAGCGGUGAAAUGCGUUGAUAUCCUAAGGAACACCGGUGGCGAAAGCGGCUCACUGGAUCUCUUCUGACGCUGAGGCACGAAAGCUAGGGUAGCGAACGGGAUUAGAUACCCCGGUAGUCCUAGCCGUAAACGAUGAGCACUGGAUUGGAGGGUCCUCCAUAGCCUUCCAGUCGCAGCGAAAGUGUUAAGUGCUCCGCCUGGGGAGUAUGGUCGCAAGGCUG